GACUGCGGAGGAUCAUUACACAUUCGGGGCGCUUCGGCGCUCCUUAUACACCCACCCUCUGCCUACGUGUACCUCUAUAGCUUCCUCGGCGGGCUCGCCCGCCGCCAGGAACCCACGAAACCCCUUGCAUUAUACGCGAAAACUUCUGAUAACAAACCUAAAUUAUCACAACUUUCAACAAUGGAUCUCUUGGUUCUGGCAUCGAUGAAGAACGCAGCGAAAUGCGAUAAGUAGUGUGAAUUGCAGAAUUCAGUGAAUCAUCGAAUCUUUGAACGCACAUUGCGGCCAUAGGUAUUCCUUUGGCCAUGCCUGUUCGAGCGUCAUUUACACCCUCAAGCCUAGCUUGGUGUUGGGCGUCUGUCCCGCCGUUCUCGCGCGCGGACUCGCCUCAAAGUCAUUGGCGGCGGUCGUGCCGACCCCCUCGCGCAGCACAUUUGCGCUUCUCGGAGGCCCGGCGGAUCCGCGCUCCAGCAAGACCUUUCACGACUUGACCUCGGAUCAGGUAGGGAUACCCGCUGAACUUAAGCAUAUCAAUAAGCGGAGGA
rnacentral:rRNA from 1 species